rnacentral:misc_RNA from 1 species
GGCUCACCUGAUGGUAAGCGAUUACUGUAGCUUAUAGAUACCUGCAACACCAGAAGCAUCGCAAGCGCGUUGUCGACCCAAUCCCCAAUCCCCCCAGGAGCUCUGGUCACCUUACUCACCAACAGGAACACAAUACUGCUUGAAAACAGUAUUAUAUUGCUGUGAUCUUCUGUAAGGUCGAGGUACUACCCCAGUCGGGCUGCUCCAUAUUUUGAGCAG